AUUUUCAAAACAACAUUUAAUACUUAGUGAUGUUUGGUAAUGCAAACCAAACCAAUUAGCCUGUUAAUAAGCCACAUUGUAAUAUACAUACAUUAUGUCUUUAUUGUUGUUGCCCAGACACAAAAUUUUUUUUUUUCUUAUUUUAAACACUCAGCAAUUUAAACUUAGUAUUAUAAGAACUUCAUACCUCAAAACCAUUACAAAUAACCCAACUGACUUAGUUCAUAGGAAAGAUAAAAUAACCUAAAUUUGUUUUUGUUCAACAUGUAACCCACUUUCAAUAUUAUCUUAGAAAUAUUUACAAAACAUUUGCUGCAUGUGAAAGAAAGAGGGUACAAAAUAUACAUAUUAAAAAACAAAACAAUGAAUAGUCUUUUUCUGAAAAAAAAAAUCUUGACAUAAAAGUUUUAUUUGAAUACAAAACAAAUAUAUCGACUAGAGCGGAAUUUAUUAGUGAUAAAAACUUGUAACAAUAGUGCCCAUUUAAAAAAAAAUGUGUUCAAGGCUGGGCAGCCUUCACCUUGUCUCAUGUGUUUCAAGAGUCCAAAGACUUUUUGGGUUUUGUCCCAGCACUGGAACCAUUUUUCCAUUUCUGUUUUUUUUUUAUAUUAUUGUCAAAUUCAAAUAAAAUUAAAAGGCACUUGAAAAAAAAAACAACAAACUAAACAGCUAGAGCAACAAGAUAUACAAAACUUUGUUAGUAACCUGAAGUUUUAGAAUCUCCUGUCAGGUCACUUUCUGAACACCAGAAAAACAAAAAGUAUAAAUCCUCUAGAUCCUUUACUGGCCAAAGUAUCUUAGCUGCUAUUACAAUAAGACCGGUUUACAUCAGUUGAUCAUUACAAAUUAUUGUUUUGUUUAAGACCCCCCCCCCCCCCC